rnacentral:rRNA from 1 species
AGUGAACGCUGGCGGUAGGCCUAACACAUGCAAGUCGAACGGCAGCACAGUAAGAGCUUGCUCUUACGGGUGGCGAGUGGCGGACGGGUGAGGAAUACAUCGGAAUCUACUUUUUCGUGGGGGAUAACGUAGGGAAACUUACGCUAAUGCCGCAUACGACCUACGGGUGAAAGCAGGGGAUCUUCGGACCUUGCGCGAUUGAAUGAGCCGAUGUCGGAUUAGCUAGUUGGCGGGGUAAAGGCCCACCAAGGCGACGAUCCGUAGCUGGUCUGAGAGGAUGAUCAGCCACACUGGAACUGAGACACGGUCCAGACUCCUACGGGAGGCAGCAGUGGGGAAUAUUGGACAAUGGGCGCAAGCCUGAUCCAGCCAUACCGCGUGGGUGAAGAAGGCCUUCGGGUUGUAAAGCCCUUUUGUUGGGAAAGAAAAGCAGCAGGUUAAUACCCCGCUGUUCUGACGGUACCCAAAGAAUAAGCGCCGGCUAACUUCGUG